UCGAAAUUUUCGUUUCGUAUAUAGUCACAAGUUCUAUUAGUUUUACAUAAUCACUAGGUAUUCAUUUGUUAGCCGUUACAAUUUUAAAGGAAUACUACUUCCUCAGUGCCGGUUUUAUUUUAUUUUUCGAAGAAAAUUAAUUUAAAUAUUUUUCAUUUUUUUAUUUCUUAUAUAAUUAUAUAAUUUAUAAAUCAAGAAUAUUUUGGAUUAGACUUAAAUUAUUUUAGCGUUUUAAUAACUGCGUUUCUUAGACGUAAAUACAUCAAGCUUUUGUAUUCAAAAACGACAAAAAAUAAAGUUUACGAUGGGCCCGUGAAACAAUAAAAAUAGAACACCAUUCUCACAGCUAUUCAAGUUAAAUUAAGUAAUUGUGUUGUACUUGUAAUUUUCAAAAUGAAUGAAAUUAUAAUUUAUAUAUCGGAUUCAUCACUGUCAAGUGACGAUGAAGACAUUGUUAACUUUAUUGAACGAUUGAAUCGCCCAAGAAAAAAGCGAAUUUAUAGAAACCGCUUAGAUCAUUUCAGUACUUGGGAUGAGAUUGAAUUUUAUAAUCGGUUUUGUUUAUCAAAACGUGUUGUGAAUGUAAUAUUGGCAUUAAUUGUGGAUAAAAUCCAAUCUCCUACCAACAGGCAUGUUAAAAUUAAACGAAAUUAAAAACUUAAUAUAAAGGGAAAUUUAUUUAGGUAUAUCUUACAAAAACUAUUUUUAAUUUUUAGAAAUCAUGCCAUUACUCCUGAGAUGUUAUUAACAUUACGAUUUUUAGCAUCAGGAAAUAUGUUGAUCACUGUUGGAGACUUUAUUGGGAUUCAUAAAUCUACAGCUGGAAAAUUUGUUUGGAAAGUUUUAAAAGCCAUUGCUAUGUUGAGGUCUAAAUUUUUAACAUUUCCUAAUGAUGUUGAAGGGCUCAAAAUUUGCAGCAAGGAUUCUAUAAAAUAGCAAGGUUUCCAAAGGUCAUUGGAGCGUUGGAUUGUUCUCAUGUGAAGAUCCAAUCACCAGAAAACAGAAGGGCUUAGUUUUUUUAUUUUACAAAUCAAAGAAAUGUGUUUGUAUUGAACUUGAAAUCUGUAUUGGACCAUCAUCGAAUUCAUUGGAAGAUGUGAAAAACACAAAAUCAAAAAAU